GGAGAAUCUAAUUUUUAUUUCAUGUCUACCAUUCAUUUUCUCCUGUGCAAAAUCAAGGUUUGGACUUGAUGGGCUAUCUUCAAUUUUUUCUCUGGUGCUAAUGUACUGAUUCCAUAAGCAAAUUCGAGAGCCCAUGUAAACAGUAUGGUGCCUGGUACAGGGUGGGUGUUCAAUGAAUGGCAACUAUCAUUAUUAUUCACCCAGCACAUUAUGUUCCUGAAAACCAGGAACUGCUUCCUGUCUGACCCACUGCAGUGGUGGAGAGGAUCAAGGGAAAUAAUGAUCAUGGAUGUGCUUAGGAGACGUAAGAUUUUACUAAGAAUUGCUGUGAGCUGGGCACCCUUCUACGCUCUGCAGACACCAUGGCUAGUAAGACAGGCAAAGACCUGCCAUCUGGAGCUUGUUUGGAUAUAGGGUAGGGGGAUG
rnacentral:lncRNA from 1 species